CCCAGCUCCCCGAAAGCCUUUCUGAUACCCUGGACUCAUGUCAUGAAAGAAGGGUUUUCAAAUAUUUAAUUUUUCUUGUGUGUCUUGGAAAGAAGGGACCGUGCUAGAGCGACUGAUUUGCAAAGGCAAAAUUAGGAAGAAAGAAAAGGAAAGUGGGGAGAUGGAAAAACAUGACCAGAGAGCCGUGCUGAAAACGGGAUGUGCCGGGACGAGUGGACACUGACGUGAGCCCAGACACAGCACAGCCCGGGAACCGUGCUUCCCUUAUGAAAUAGAAGACCCCUAAGCUGCAGAAGUUGUGUUGCUACGUCAAUCCACGGCCCGAGGAGUAGAAGGAUCAUUUUUCCUCAAAGUCACUUCCGAUGAGAAAAGGA